GGUUCGUGUCUUCACCGUCCCUACCUUGUUUCUCUUUCAGCCCUGCUGCUGUUGUCUCUCCUGCUUCGUCUGAGAGAAGGGACUUAAUUAGAGUGAAAGUCGUGGAGGAAAGUCGCUAAAGCUGCGGCUCUCUCCUGCUUAUCUGCAAGGUGUGAACAGAGGCCAGUCCAGGAUCUGUAGCCAUUUCUUUAUCUGCUGUACCUUCUGAAAUAUUAUUUUUCCAAUGUCUUGGUGACAAACACAAGCAUAUCCUUCAGAAAGAUGUGGUCAUGAAGACAACAUGCUGUAUGUUACUCUAAAAUCUCUGCUGGACUUUUCCCACAUCAACACUGUCACCACAGUGACAGAAAAAAGGAAAAAAAGAAAAAGAACCACAGGUGGAGAAAUAAGCUUCAGCAAAGACACUGAUGCAACUCCAUUCUGUGGAAAUCCAAAAGUUUAAAAAUCAGUAACGGAGUAUUCACUUAAACAGCUGUUUUAUUUAUUUUUCCCACCUUUUCAAUUAUUUAUUGUGAUUUUUUUUAUGGCUACUUUAAAUGGAAACAAUAUCUCUAUUCCUUGAAUAUUAUGUUUUACACAAAAAGUUGUUGUGCAAUAAUGAUAGGGCAUCAUCACGUGUAAAUACCUGCCAUGUUGUUCUUUCUCUGCAAAUAGUUGUAUAAUUUUUCUCAGUUAUUCUUCCUAUAGAACUUGUAUUUGUUUAUUUCUCAUUAUAUAUCCCUACAUUUAUUUAUGUCUACUGUAUGUUUGUCCG